rnacentral:rRNA from 1 species
GACGAACGCUGGCGGCGUGCUUAACACAUGCAAGUCGAACGAAGUGGCGAACGGGUGAGUAACGCGUAAUCAACCUGCCCUUCAGGGGGGGACAACAUUUGGAAACGAAUGCUAAUACCUGAUACUGUGAGAGAGCUUUGCGUCCCAUUAGCUAGUUGGAGAGGUAAGGGCUCACCAAGGCGGUGACGGGUAGCCGGCCUGAGAGGGUGACCGGCCACAUUGUGACUGAGAUACGGCCCAGACUCCUACGGGAGGCAGCAGUGGGGGAUAUGGCACAAGGGGCGAAAGCCUGAUGCAGGGACGCUGCGUGGGGGAUGAAGGCUUUCGGGUUGUAAACCUCGUUCGCUAUCGAACGGGUAGGUGGAGAAGAAGCGCCGGCUAACUACGUGCCAGCAGCCGCGGUAAUAC